CUCUGUGAUGAGGAUAUCGAUAAAUCUCGUUAAUCUGAUUCAUAUCUAAUGAGGAUAAUCAUCCAAAUCCAUUCGUUUUCGUCUCUGAGC